rnacentral:rRNA from 1 species
CCUACGGGUGGCUGCAGUGGGGAAUAUUGGACAAUGGGCGAAAGCCUGAUCCAGCCAUGCCGCGUGUGUGAAGAAGGCCUUCGGGUUGUAAAGCACUUUCAGUGGGGAAGAAAGCCUUGGGGCUAAUACCCUCGAGGAAGGACAUCACCCACGGAAGAAGCACCGGCUAACUCCGUGCCAGCAGCCGCGGUAAUACGGAGGGUGCGAGCGUUAAUCGGAAUUACUGGGCGUAAAGCGCGCGUAGGCGGUCUGAUAAGCCGGUUGUGAAAGCCCCGGGCUCAACCUGGGAACGGCAUCCGGAACUGUCAGGCUAGAGUGCAGGAGAGGAAGGUAGAAUUCCCGGUGUAGCGGUGAAAUGCGUAGAGAUCGGGAGGAAUACCAGUGGCGAAGGCGGCCUUCUGGACUGACACUGACGCUGAGGUGCGAAAGCGUGGGUAGCAAACAGGAUUAGAUACCCGAGUAGUC